GUUUUACAGGCAGGAGCUUCAUCAUGAAUACUCUCAGGAGUUUCUAACUUUGUUUCAAGAGUUGGCUAUCGAUAUACAGAAAACCAAGGAAGAAGAAGAAAAACUCGCUAAUAUAUUCCGACUGCAACAGGAAUUAUUACAACACUCCAAAACUGUUGAGAGCCAGAGAAUGCGAGCAUUUAAAGAGCUGCAUGAGCAAUUGUUAAAGGACAUGAGAGACUUGGACAUCAAUCAGGACAAUUUUCUUACUGGUGAGCAGAGCACGCUUGGGGAAGAAAUGUCCAUGUGGCAAAAACAACUUGUGAUGGAACACCAACGUCACCAGGCGGCACUCCUUCGAGAGUCUCUUCGUUCUCUGCUGGAAUGUGUCUUUGAUGACAUUUGAAGAAAGGACUUGAACCAAGUAACAUGAAGAUUGUGGCUUAACGAUUCUAGUUUAAAUGAUCACAUCUUGUUAUUCGUUGGCUUAAGUGCAAGGCCCUCUUCACUGUGUAAACCCAAGUGAGAGUGAAACAGUUAUGUGAGUAGCAGCAAUUCCAAAGUUAUAGGCAGGAAACGUUUAGACCUUUGGUAGGUCUGAACCUACCAAACCUUUGGUGACUUUUUUUCUCCCUAACGCUGUCAAUUAAAUUUUAGCAAUAGAGGUGAUUCACGUUUAAGUUUGCUUCAAUGAAUCUCUAUCAGUCCCAAAAGAUAGAAAGUACAAUUAUAAACGGUUACCGUGUUCCUCCGGAAGGCGGGGGAGGAAAGAAUGUAUACACCCUUUUGUAUAUACUCAUUAAGGUACAGAGCCAAUUGUAAUGAAAAGAAGAUUUGAAAUACCAUCUACUCCAGGAAAUCACAAAAUUUAUGAAAAGCAACUUAAGUUUGUGCCUCAGAAUAAAUGAAACUGCGAAGAGUCAUUAAGACACCUGAAUAAGAUGUGUAAAUAUCACUUGUGAGACACGGCGUCGUCAAUAUGCCAUUUCGACCAAAACAAUUAACACGUCAUUUGAUUGAUCUCGGCCCACUGUUAAAUGACACCUGCCCUGGGCAAUCGUUGACAGUAUUGCCUUUGCCUGUACAAGAACAAAGCUACCCAAGGUAGAAACAUUUUGAACCUGUCUUGAGAGAUUCAUUACCUAGAAAAUUUUGUUUUGCAAGUUUAAUAUUCAGCAAGUAUGUGGAAAGUUGAUUGUAUGCUCAUCUAAAAGCGUCAACAAUUAAAUGCUGACACCUUGUCUUUUCUGGUGCCCUUCUUACAUGCAUGACCGUAUGAAAUCUCCAACUGCAAGCACUCACUGUCAUAAGAAUGAAGUUGUCUGAGAAUUAGUUUGGAAUAAACCGGUUACACAUA